rnacentral:rRNA from 1 species
GACGAACGCUGGCGGCGUGCUUAACACAUGCAAGUCGAACGAAAAUACCAAGCUUGCUUGGUUGAUUAGUGGCGAACGGGUGAGUAACACGUGAGUAACCUGCCCCUUACUUUCCUGGAUAACUGCUCGAAAGGGUAGCUAAUACGGGAUAUUCUGACCAGCCUGCAUGGGUUGGUUUGGAAAGGUUGUUUUUCUGGUAAGGGAUGGGCUCGCGGCCUCUCCGCUUGUUGGUGAGGUGAUGGCCUACCAAGGCUUUGACGGGUAGCCGGCCUGAGAGGGUGGACGGUCACACUGGGACUGAGAUACAGCCCAGACUCCUACGGGAGGCAGCAGUGGGGAAUAUUGCACAAUGGGCGCAAGCCUGAUGCAGCGACGCCGCGUGAGGGAGGAAGGCCUUCGGGUUGUAAACCUCUUUCGGCAGGGAACAAGGCACUGCUUUUUUGGUGGUGUUGAGGGUACCUGGAUAAGAAGCGCCGGCUAACUACGUG